CAGGUUCAGCCCUGAGGUUCAGGCAUUAUAAUCAAUAAACUUUUUAUUUCAUUAGAAAGUAUUGGUGCUAUGAAAAAACAAAAAUUUUUCAAAGGACCUUGGAAAUAUAAAAAUAAAAAUGAACGUUUUAAGUAUGCUAAUGAUUUAUGGACAAAAAAAGCAAAAAGAAAAUUCCAACAGCAAAUGAAGCAUGAAGGGAAGAUCUUCGAAAAUAAUAUUGAUUAUUUUGACAAUUUUGAUAAAAGACUAACAGAAAAUUUUUUGUUCAAAGCAGAAAGUUUAAAACAUGCCGAACAAGAAGAAGAAAAAGAAGACAAAAAGACUUCUUCACCCUUAUAUUCAGUCCAAAAACCAAUGACGGAAUCACCGAAGCUUUUGAAUAUGAACUAUUUUGAGAAACAGCAAAAAAUUGCAGAACAUUCCCAUGCUUGGCUUCUUGAUCAUAAAAAGGACGCUAUUAAAAAAAAGAAAGAAAUGGAAUCAUUGAUUCACCGUAAGCAAUUGGAACGUCAACAAACUUUUAAAAACAUGACUGCUAAAACUCGUAAAGGUCAGCCAAAAAUGCAAUCUAUUAUCAAAGCUUAUAUAAAAAAACUUUAAACCUUUGGACUUACUUUAUAUUCUACUUUUGUCAUAAAAAUUGACUCUCGCACUACAACAAGUUCUCUUAAUUCCAACACAUCAUAAUAUCACAAGAAUUAAUUGAGUCUGUAUUUGAGAUUUUAUAUCAGCAUGGUUUACGUAAAGUAGCAUUUUAUAAGAAAAAGAAUUUGUUUUAAAGCACUUAUUUCACUAUUAAAGGAUGAGAGAUUUUUAAAUCUUAUUUUUCAAGCCGGUUCGAAAAGUAUUUAGGUAUCGGUGAAAUGUUGCUUGGAUUUUAGCAUGGAUGAAUGUAAAUUCUAUGACAAGUAUUCCGAAACGACAUGGUGGAACUCAAAACACCCUUUUUGGCCUUUGAAUUUGUAUAAUAAAGUUAGAGUUCCGUUUAUAUGCCAUAGUAUUCGGCAACACCUUUCGAAAAGUAUACAAGAAUGUUACAUACUGGAUGCUGGUUGCGGUGGAGGAUAUUUGGCGGAAACACUUGCGUUGAAAGGCGCAACAGUUCUUGGAAUUGAUACAUCGGCUGGAGCUAUUGAAGUUGCUAAAAAACAUUUUGAAGAACAUGUUUUGACAAAUUCUGCUUCAAAAAUGUCUCCAUGCAAAGAAUUACAAAGAUUAGACUAUAAAAAGUAUGACAUUUUUGAUCUUCUACCACUUAAUAUAUCGUUUGAUGUGAUUGUCGCCUCUGAAGUUAUUGAGCAUAUACGACAACCAGCUAACUUUCUAUCAGCUUGUUCAAAGCUUUUAAAACCAAACGGAUUAUUGAUUUUAACAACCCCGAACCGCAAUUUCCUGUCGUAUUUACUUAUUGUUUUUUUAGGUGAGUACGUUUUAAAACUUCUACCAAAGCAUCUAGGCCGUUCUAAUUUCUUUAUUGUCUAAUUUCUUUUUUAGAAUACGCAUGAAUAUAAAAUGUUUUUUAAGCCGAAGGAAUUACAAAGUCUUGUGCAACGUACGUGUGGGCUGAAAUGUUUGAAUUACACUGGUUCUUUUUACAUUCCGUGGCCCAUCAAUAUGUGGGUACGAGAACCGUUGGGUCUAGUGAAUUAUAUGAUGUGUUUUCAAAAGCCUUUCAAAAAGAUUUAACUUAUGAUAUAAAUUUAAUGUUUAUAAUGUUCACAAUAAAAUUAAAAAAAAAAAAUUUAUUUUUGACACCAUAGUAGGGUAUUUUUUUUUAUUUUUGACAAUUUAAAACACGACUUAACCAGGAAAUAUCCCCACUUUGCCGUAGGGGUAAACGUUUUUCA